UGGUAGUGUAUUGGACAACCAUGGCUUUAACGGGUAACGGAGGAUUAGGGUUCGAUUCCGGAGAGGGAGCCUGAGAAACGGCUACCACAUCUAAGGAAGGCAGCAGGCGCGUAAAUUACCCAAUCCUAAUUCAGGGAGGUAGUGACAAGAAAUAACGGACUGAGGCUACGCUUCAGGAUUGCAAUGAGUAGAAUUUAAACCCCUUUAUGAGGAUCAAUUGGAGGGCAAGUCUGGUGCCAGCAGCCGCGGUAAUUCCAGCUCCAAUAGCGUAUAUUAAAGUUGUUGCAGUUAAAAAGCUCGUAGUUGGAUUUCUGGGAGAGUGCCAAUGUCCUCUUGUGAGUGUGCAGCGGUGCUCUUCCAUCCUUCUGUUAACGCCUCUUGGUAUUUGUUUACUGGUGGCGGGCUCAGAUAUUUUACCUUGAGAAAAUUAGAGUGUUUCAGGCAGGCUUGCGCCCGAAUACAUUAGCAUGGAAUAAUAGAAUAGGACUGUGGUCUCCUUUGUUGGUUUGAGGGACUAUAGUAAUGGUUAAUAGGGACAGUUGGGGGCAUUAGUAUUUAAUUGUCAGAGGUGAAAUUCUCGGAUUUGUUAAAGACUAACUUAUGCGAAAGCAUUUGCCAAGGAUGUUUUC
rnacentral:rRNA from 1 species